AAAGCCAUUUUGACCUUUAGGCACAAUUAUCAUCAGAAUCAAAUUUGAAGAGGAGCAUCCCCACAAACCAAUGACUUACCCUGCGCUGCGUAGCUCACAUUGUCGCUGCUGCAUAAAGGGCUCCAGAGCCACAGCUAAAAUAGUGAUUACCGCUCCGAGGGAGGCAAGAUGGCUAGGGGGAAACUGUUAGCCAUUUCCACAUCUAGCUUGCUGCUGAAAAACCGUGCUCCAAAUAAUCACUGACCCUCCGCGAAGAUAAAAGAGCAUAUGCAGAGACCCUAGGGGUCCUCGGCUGGCAUCAUCGAAAAUUUGCAAGUCUUGCAGGCGUCUCAUAUCUUUCAUCCAUAGCCAUUUUAGCUGACUUAUGCAGGCUGCAAUAACGACCAAAAUCGACACCCUUAUGGCAUUGGCGAGAACGGAAAUGAUAGCGUUGAACUUUUAUGCACAUUAGUAUUUUAAAGAGCGAGUAUUCAGUGUUUGAGUAGUAUACUUACUGUAAUAUAUUUGGGCAAUUCGGGCACAUUUUUCUCUGAAUAGACAACGAGCACGGCUAUCGUCGCCGCAAGAGCCAGCAGGCUUAAAGCACAGGCCCCGAUUUCCCAGAGCCACCAAUCGAGGACGAGCCUGGAGUACCAAUUCCGCCUC
rnacentral:sRNA from 2 species